rnacentral:rRNA from 1 species
AACGAACGCUGGCGGCAUGCCUAACACAUGCAAGUCGAACGAGACCUUCGGGUCUAGUGGCGCACGGGUGCGUAACGCGUGGGAACCUGCCCUUAGGUUCGGAAUAACUCCCCGAAAGGGGUGCUAAUACCGGAUAAUGUCUUCGGACCAAAGAUUUAUCGCCUUUGGAUGGGCCCGCGUUGGAUUAGCUAGUUGGUAGGGUAAAAGCCUACCAAGGCGACGAUCCAUAGCUGGUCUGAGAGGAUGAUCAGCCACACUGGGACUGAGACACGGCCCAGACUCCUACGGGAUGGGGCAGUGGGGAAUAUUGCACAGUGGGCGAAGGCCUGAUCCAGCAAUGCCGCGUGAGUGAUGAAGGCCUUAAGGUAGUAAAGCUCUUUUACCCGGGAUGAUAAUGACAGUACCGGGAGAAUAAGCUCCGGCUAACUCCGUG